rnacentral:rRNA from 1 species
AAUACGGAGGUGGCAAGCGUUGUUCGGAAUUACUGGGCGUAAAGGGCGCGUAGGCGGCUAGGCAAGUCAGGUGUGAAAGCCCCGGGCUUAACCCGGGAAUUGCAUCUGAAACUGCUGUGCUUGAGUUCUGGAGGGGGUAGUGGAAUUCCCAGUGUAGCGGUGAAAUGCGUAGAUAUUGGGAGGAACACCUGCGGCGAAGGCGGCUACCUGGACAGAAACUGACGCUGAGGCGCGAAAGCUAGGGGAGCGAACGGGA